rnacentral:rRNA from 1 species
AAUCAUGGCUCAGGAUGAACGCUAGCUACAGGCUUAACACAUGCAAGUCGAGGGGCAGCAUUUUAGUUUGCUUGCAAACUAAAGAUGGCGGCCGGCGCACGGGUGAGUAACACGUAUCCAACCUGCCGAUAACUCGGGGAUAGCCUUUCGAAAGAAAGAUUAAUAUCCGAUGGUAUAUUAAAACCGCAUGGUUUUACUAUUAAAGAAUUUCGGUUAUCGAUGGGGAUGCGUUCCAUUAGUUUGUUGGCGGGGUAACGG